UACUUUGCUUUUGGGUGUUUAAGAACAU
rnacentral:piRNA from 1 species